GACGAACGCUGGCGGCGUGCUUAACACAUGCAAGUCGAACGGAAAGGCCCUGCUUUUGUGGGGUGCUCGAGUGGCGAACGGGUGAGUAACACGUGAGUAACCUGCCCUUGACUUUGGGAUGACUUCAGGAAACUGGGGCUAAUACCGGAUAGCAGCUCCUGCUGCAUGGUGGGGGUUGGAAAGUUUCGGCGGUUGGGGAUGGACUCGCGGCUUAUCAGCUUGUUGGUGGGGUAGUGGCUUACCAAGGCUUUGACGGGUAGCCGGCCUGAGAGGGUGACCGGCCACAAUGGGACUAAGAUACGGCCCAGACUCCUACGGGAGGCAGCGGUGGGGAAUAUUACACAAUGGGCGGAAGCCUGAUGCAGCAGCGCCGCGUGCGGGAUGACGGCCUUCGGGUUGUAAACCGCUUUCGCCUGUGACGAAGCGUGAGUGACGGUAAUGGGUAAAGAAGCACCGGCUAACUACGUG
rnacentral:rRNA from 1 species